ACCCGUUGAUCCUGCGGGAGGUUGCGGCUAUCGGGAUUCGGCUAAGACAUGCAAGUUAGCUCGCCCGCAAGGGUGGGUGGCGAACUGCUCAGUAACACGUCGAUAAUCUGCCGUUGUGUCUGGGAUACCCUUGGGAAACUGAGAUUAAUACCGGAUAAGGUACAGGUACUGGAAGGUCCUGUUCUUGAAAGUUUUAACGCACAACGAUGAGUCGGCGGCGGAUUAGCUUGUUGGUGGGGUAAUGGCUCACCAAGGCGAAGAUCCGUACGGGCCAUGAGAGUGGUUGCCCGGAGAAGGACACUGAGAUACUGGUCCUAGCCCUAAGGGGUGCAGCAGUCGCGAAUCCUUUACAAUGCACGAAAGUGUGAUAAGGGGAUCCCGAGUGCUCAAGCAAUGCUUGGGCUUUUCUUGAAGGUAGGAACUUCUUGGAAUAAGUGGUGGGCAAGACCGGUGCCAGCCGCCGCGGUAAUCCCGGCGCCACGAGUUGCAACCGCGUUUAUUGGGUCUAAAGCAUCCGUAGCCGGUUUAGUACAUUUUCUGUGAAAUUGUUGCGCUCAACGUAACAACGUGCAGGGAACACGGCUAAACUUGGGACCGGGAGGCGUAAGAGGUAUGCUGGGGGGAGCGGUAAAAUGUUAUAAUCCCCAGUGGACCACCAAUGGCGAAGGCAUCUUACGAGAACGGAUCCGACGGUGAGGGAUGAAAGCUAGGGGAGCGAUCGGGAUUAGAUACCCCAGUAGUCCUAGCCGUAAACGCUGUCAGUUGGAUGUUGCACACUCUUCGGGAGUGUGCAGUGUCGCAGAGAAGUCGUUAAACUGACCACCUGGGAAGUACGGUCGCAAGGCUGAAACUUAAAGGAAUUGGCGGGGGAGCACUACAAGGGGUGCGGCGUGCGGUUUAAUUGAAUUCAAUGUUGGAAACCUCACCAGGGGCGACGGCACAAUGAAGGUCAGUCUGAAGGGCUUACUUGAGGAGCCGAGAGGUGUUGUAUGGUCACCGUCAGCUCGUGCCGUAAGGUGUCCAGUUAAGUCUGGCAACGAGCGAGACCUGUGCGUCUAGUUGCUAACGUGCGAGUAAUCGUGAGCGAGUACACUAGACGGACUGCCUUCGAAAGGAGGAGGAGGGUGCAGGCUACGGUAGAUCAGUAUGGCCCGAAUCUCCUGGGCUACACGCGCGCAACAAUGGUAGGCACAAUGGGAUGCAACUCCGUAAGGAGGAGCCAAACCUCGAAAUCCUACCCUAGUACAGAUCGAGGGCUGUAACUCGCCCUCGUGACGUCGGAAUCCCUAGUAAUCAGACGUUAGCAUCGUCCGGUGAAUAUGUCCCUGCUCCUUGCACACACCGCCCAUCAUCUCAUCCGAGCAGGGUCUAGGUGAGCCUUACCAGACACUGGUAUGUCGAACCUAGGUUCAGUGAGGCGGAGCAAGUUGACACAAGGUA
rnacentral:rRNA from 1 species